rnacentral:lncRNA from 1 species
CAGCGAGGAAGCUUUAGCUUCCUCCAGCAGUGGUCGAGUUCAGCGAGACAUCGAACGUCCACUGUGGUUGCUCCUGGGCUCGGAUAUGGAGGCCGCAGGUGAUCUCGGGAUGGAUUCAACAUUAAGUGCUGAGUCGCCAACCAGCCCCAGAGAUGCACCCCACUCGGC